GGGAACCCUGGGGAGGGGCUGCCCUCUCGAGUGUCCCGAUUCCGGUGUGGCUUUCCCCAAUCCCCGAAGUCUUCUACGGACGUAUGUCCUAAUUCCCCAAGAGCACGGGUGAGCGAAAGCUCUGGGUGGGCUGGGGCGAUGGCAGCAUUUGCGGUUGGCCUGCAGGCAAGCCAGAGGCAGGGGAAAAGCAAGAAGGUAAAACCUACCCAUGGACCACAAGCGUGAGAGCCAAAGUGGGAUUAUGGACUGUCAAAAUUGUCUCUGACUUCUCCCCAGGCGGGCGGAGGAGGGAUCUAGUGCCUAAGGCACUGCUUGGUUUGGGGAAAUCAAAAGUGAAUAAAACCUAUUCCUGCCUUGAAGAAGCUUACGCUUGUGAUGGAGAGUCACCUGCAAAGGAGAAAAAGCCAGAUGUGAAUGAGAAAGGGCAACAAUUCUUUAAGAAAAUGCUUUUAAUACAGCCUCAAUUAUUCAAAUUUAGAAAUCAAGCAAGAAACCUCUCCUUAAGUUUGCAUUUCAAAUAAUGGCUCUUGGGUCACAGAGAAGAUGGAAGUAGAAAAUCUACAAUACAAAGUCACAG